UACGGAGGAUGCAAGCGUUAUCCGGAAUGAUUGGGCGUAAAGCGUCCGCAGGUGGCAAUGUAAGUCUGCUGUCAAAGCGUCUGGCUCAACCAGAUAAAGGCAGUGGAAACUACAUAGCUAGAGUAAGGUAGGGGUAGAGGGAAUUCCUGGUGUAGCGGUGAAAUGCGUAGAGAUCAGGAAGAACACCGGUGGCGAAAGCGGCAUCCUGGACCGAGAUUGACGCUGAGGCGCGAAAGCCAGGGGAGCAAACGGG
rnacentral:rRNA from 1 species